UUUGAAAAUUUUCAAAACUUGAAUGGCUUAUUUUUCUCAUAGAAUUUAGAUGUGUAAGCAUGAUUCGACAGCCAGGUGGUUCAUGGAUUUAAAACUAAAUUUUACAGAGCUCGAAGCCCUUUAAAGAGUGGAAAAGCGACAGAGCACAGCACUCAGAGGCACGGAGAUGCCUGCAGCCCUGUGCUCAUUUGCUGCCACCACGCACUCUACUGUACUAUGGAAUUGGGCCCUACGUAGCAGCAGUGUGAAAAGAAUGCCAUUUGGAAAACUGCUGCAGUCAUAAUUUGAGAGGCUGAGUCUCCCUGUCCUCACCCUUUCUCCAUUAUCUCCCGCCUGCUCUCAGUCCAGCCUCAGCCGUGGAACUCAUGGCAGAAGCUUUGGCAGCCUGGAAGCUUCGUGGGCUUUGGAGUCAGAUGGAGCCUUGCUCUGUCACCCAGGCUGGACUGCAGUGGUGCAAUCUCAGCUCACUGCAACCUCCACCUCCUGGGUUCAAGCAAUCCUCCUGCCUCGCCUCCCAAGUAGCUGAAACUACAGACACAUACCAUCAUGCCCGGUGAAUUUCUGUAUUUUUAGUAGAGACAGGUUUCACUGUAUUGCCCAGGCUGGACUCAAACUCCUGACAUCAAGUGAUCCGCUCGCCUCAGCCUUCCAAAGUGCUGGGAUUACAGGCAUGAGCCACUGUGCCUAGCCUAUAUUCUGAGAUUCUGAAUACGUCAACCUGAGGCUAAAAAUUUUCUGUUUUAAUUUUGAAGACCAUCUAUGGUGAAUAUAGUUUUUGUUUAGUUAACACACAUUAGCGAGAUAGCAAAUUUCACUCACACUAUAGUUGGAUGUGUGGUAUAAACUCUAUUCUUUUUGUUUUGUUUUGUUUUCUAACUUUUCCCCAUACCUCCUCCCAUUAAUUUUGGCCUGAUUGGAAAGGGUAGAAGAAACAGGAUCUUCUCCCUACUUUGAAAAACUCUGUGAACUAGGUCUUUCAAGUUUGGCCAUUGAUAGGCUAAAGGGCAAGAAAACAUUAGGAGACUCUUCUCUCAAGAUAAUAGCUUGGCUGGCUUGGUUUGUACUAGGCUGCGUAAUCCCUUUGAGUGUCAGAAGCUGAAUAUUAGUUCAAUAUUACUUUUUUAAGUUCUUUUAUAAUAUAUUAUACUAUUUCUUUAUGGAGGCGAAGUGAAGGUUUAUUUAGUAAGGCAAAUGAAGAAAUUGCAUUGAACUUCUAAAAAACCAUAACCAUCCUUUCUGCAAAUCUGUCAGAAGGCUACAUUCACCUACGUGAUUGCAGCAGUUCUGUUGAUGUUUGCACAAUCUUGUAUGUCUAGGAUUCUGUAAGUCUUCCGAGAGCAGCAAUCAUGUUUGUUGCUUCCCACUGUACACUAAGCUCCUAGGAUACUACUUAAAAGACUCAGUAACCAACUGUAAAUAUUUUUGAAUGAAAAAAUAAACCAUGAAAAAUCUGGAAUCUAUACCCAGAUGGAACAGAUUAACCCAGCAGUGACUCAUGCUCAUUUAAGUCCAAGAAACUUUGUCUUUCAUAAUGUUAAGAAGAAA
rnacentral:lncRNA from 1 species